rnacentral:rRNA from 1 species
ACGGACCAAGGAGUCUAACACGUGCGCGAGUCGGAGGGCCCAGCGAAACCCUGUGGCGCAAUGAAGGUGAGGGCCGGCGCGCGCCGGCUGAGGUGGGAUCCCGCGAACCCAGCGGCGGGCGCACCACCGGCCCGUCUCGCCCGCUCUGUCGGGGAGGUGGAGCAUGAGCGCGCGUGAGAGGA